ensembl:lncRNA
CAGCAUCGUUCAUUUCAGUGGUGCACCAUCUCCAACAACUUCUCCGCAUCGUUCAUCGGGGGGCACNCGUUCUCCAACUGCAUCUCCAACAUCGUUCAUCGGGUGGGAGCAGCAUCUCCAGCAGCUUCUGUGCAUCGGUCCCUCCAGGGAGCACCAUAUCCAGUAGCUUCUACGCAUCAAAUCCGUCGGCGGGCAGCACUUCUCCAGAACUUGCUCUCCAGGCAUUCGUUCAUCGGAGGAGCAGGCAUCUGCAUCUCCAGCAGCUUCUCCUGCAUCGUUCAUCGGGGGAGCACCAUCUCCAGCAGCUUCUACAGCAUCAUCCGUCGGGGGAGCACCGUCUCCAACUGCAUCUCCAACAUCGUUCAUCGGGGGAGCACCAUCUCCAGCAGCUUCUCCAGCAUCGUUCAUCGGGGGAGCACCAUAUACAGCAGCUUAUCCAGCAUCGUUCAUCGGGGGAGCACCAUCUACAACAGUGUCUCCAGUAUCGUUCAGACGGUGAGCACCAUAUCCAGCAUCUUUCAUCGGAGGAGCAACGUCUCCAGCAGCUUCUCCAGCAUCGUUCAUCAGGAGCACCAUCUUCCAGCAGGUCUCUUCCAGGCAUCGUUCAUACAGAGAGAAGGGAGCACCAUCUCCAGCAGCU